rnacentral:rRNA from 1 species
AAAGGGGCACGUGAGUUGGGUUCAGAACGUCGUGAGACAGUUCGGUCUCUAUCCGCCGCGGGCGUAGGAGGCUUGAGGGUUUCUCUCCCUAGUACGAGAGGACCGGGAGGGACGGACCUAUGGUGUGCCAGUUGUUCCGCCAGGAGCAUCGCUGGGUAGCUAUGUCCGAUUCGAUAAGCGCUGAAGGCAUCUAAGCGCGAAGCGUUGCCCAAGAUAAGGCCUCCCAUCCCAGUGAGAGCUGGGAGUAAGGCUGCAGAGAGACUAUCUGCUUGAUAGGCCGGGAGUGGAAGCGUGGCAACAUGUUAAGCUUACCGGUACUAAUCGGCCGAGGGCUUGACCUA